rnacentral:rRNA from 1 species
AUUGAACGCUGGCGGCAGGCCUAACACAUGCAAGUCGAGCGGAGCGGCGGACGGGUGGGGACGGCCUAGGAAUCUGCCUGGGAGUGGGGGAUGACGUGCGGAAGCGGACGCUAAUACCGCAUACUAUCAGAUGAGCCUAUGUUGGAUUAGCUAGUUGGUGGUGUAAUGGCGUACCACGGCGACGAUCCGUAGCUGGUCGGAGAGGAUGAUCAGCCACACUGGAACUGAGACACGGUCCAGACUCCUACGGGAGGCAGCAGUGGGGAAUAUUGGACAAUGGGCGAAAGCCUGAUCCAGCCAUGCCGCGUGUGUGAAGAAGGUCUUCGGAUUGUAAAGCACUUUAAGUUGGGAGGCGUUACCAACAGAAUAAGCACCGGCUAACUUCGUGCCAGCAGCCGCGGUAAUAC